rnacentral:rRNA from 1 species
UACGGGGGGGGCGAGCGUUGUCCGGAUUUACUGGGCGUAAAGCGCGUGUAGGCGGCGAUUUAAGUUCGUGGUGAAAGGCGGGGGCUUAACCCCCGAGCGGCCCCGAAAACUGGAUCGCUUGAGUGUCGGAGAGGGGAGUGGAAUUCUCGGUGUAGCGGUGAAAUGCGUAGAGAUCGAGAGGAACACCCGUGGCGAAGGCGGCUCCCUGGCCGAACACUGACGCUGAGACGCGAAAGCGCGGGGAGCGAACGGG